rnacentral:rRNA from 1 species
AGUGAACGCUGGCGGUAGGCCUAACACAUGCAAGUCGAACGGCAGCACAGUAAGAGCUUGCUCUUACGGGUGGCGAGUGGCGGACGGGUGAGGAAUACAUCGGAAUCUACUUUUUCGUGGGGGAUAACGUAGGGAAACUUACGCUAAUACCGCAUACGACCUACGUGUGAAAGCAGGGGAUCUUCGGACCUUGCGCGAUUGAAUGAGCCGAUGUCGGAUUAGCUAGUUGGCGGGGUAAAGGCCCACCAAGGCGACGAUCCGUAGCUGGUCUGAGAGGAUGAUCAGCCACACUGGAACUGAGACACGGUCCAGACUCCUACGGGAGGCAGCAGUGGGGAAUAUUGGACAAUGGGCGCAAGCCUGAUCCAGCCAUACCGCGUGGGUGAAGAAGGCCUUCGGGUUGUAAAGCCCUUUGUUGGGAAAGAAAAGCAGCAGGUUAAUACCCCGCUGUUCUGACGGUACCCAAAGAAUAAGCACCGGCUAACUUCGUG